UACGGGGGGAGCAAGCGUUGUUCGGAAUCACUGGGCGUAAAGGGAGUCUAGGCGGUUUGGUAAGUGGGAUGUGAAAUGCCCCCGGCUCACCCGGGGACCUGCAUCCCAAACUGCUGAGCUUGAGUACAGGAGAGGGUGGGGGAAUUCCAGGUGUAGCGGUGAAAUGCGUAGAUAUCUGGAGGAACACCGGUGGCGAAGGCGGCAUCCUGGACCGGUAUUGACGCUGAGGAGCGAAAGCCAGGGGAGCAAACGGG
rnacentral:rRNA from 1 species